rnacentral:lncRNA from 1 species
UUUCAUUUGAAGAUGUUUGUUGAGAAAGAUGAAGAGAAAUAGUUACAUCUCAGAAAGCUAAUGUGGGCUGAAGUAGCAAGACAUGGUGUGGUGAAAUUGUAGAUCACUGGCAGGCUGAAUCCAGCUUUGGCCAUUCCUCCUCAGGCGCUGAGCAGUGGACAAGUUACUUAGCCAUUUUCAGAUUUUUGAUAUGUUAAGGGUGGCAAUAAUAUGCAUUUUAGACUGCUAUAUGAGAUUAAAAAAAAAGAGAGUGAUAAUAUCUGUGUAUGUAAAAAUUCAUGAAACCAAAUAUGUACCCAGUAAAUGGCAAAUACUGUCAUACUGAAGAGUUAAGUAUGGGGCUGGCCAUGACCAGCAUGGCUUUAUGGAUUGACCUGAGUGGAGCACUAGGGGAAUGAAGAAAGAACAGACACACAGUCACAUGUACAGUAAAUCUGCUGCUAGGUGGACCGUGCACACUCUGAUGGCGUAGCACCAACUCUGCAGAACCCCAGAAUCUCAGUGCAUUUAUUAUGUGCAGCACAGGGGAGGGGUUUGCUACUCCCUAUAGGAGGCCUCAAUAGGUGAGAGGUGGCAGGCUGUGAACAUCAGGGAGAAAGCUGUAGUUUCUAGUUUUUGUACACAUUGGUCAAUAAUUCAUGAACAUUCAUACUUUCACACACUGCAAACAUUCUAACACAGACCAGAGGACAGCUUUGCUAUCCCUUUGACCACACCCUGGGGAUACUCUUCAUCAAAUUCCUGCCAACUUCACUAAAGCCUCAUGAAUUGGUUCUUGACAUGGCUGUGCCCACGUCAAACAAUACACAGCCACUCAGAACUUCAUGCACCCCUUCCUUCCACUGUCACCCAGGGCGCUCUCUGUUUGCCACAGGGCUCUGUUUAGUUGUUUUGCAUACUCCUAGGCAAAUGCAUUUCAAAUUCUACUGUACUCAUUGCCACCCAGUCUGAGGACUCAUCUGUUCCUCCUUCUCUUGACAAUGCCUUCUCCCUCCAUUCUUGGGUCAGGUGGAGCUACCACCGCGAGGCUGAUUUUUGUGAAGACUCUUGUGGGGAAGACCAUCAUGCUCGAGGCUGAACCUUCGGACACUAUAAAAAAUGCAAAGGCCAAGAUCCAGGAUAAGGAAGGACUUCUGCCUGAUCAGCAGAGUUGAUCAUUGCUGGUAAGCAGCUGGAAGAUGGCCGUACUU